ensembl:lincRNA Gm17275 predicted gene, 17275
AGUUUAAUGUAUUUUAAUAGCAAACUUACAGGAACAGCACAGAAGACUGACAACAUUAAAAACAUGUACUUGUAUGUAGGACAANNNNNGGCAUGGAUAGCACACAGAUUGGUAUCUUCAAAAAGGCCAACCAGAUAGGCCUCACUUGCCUCCUGCAACAAUAAAAGAGAAAUGACUUAGUGGUAUUGUUUCCAACAGUUAAAAUACACUUACACAGUAAAACCCUUUAAAGAAUUUAUCAAACGCUCACAUAGAAACCUGUCAAGAUGCCUAAGUUCACAAAGUUUUCUACAGCCUCACAAAACAUCAAGACACUUCAAUACUCCAAAUGUUAACACGCUCCCUAGUAAACAAAUGGCCUCAAAGAAACCAACAAAUCCUAACGUCCUCAUCCUUACCAGAGGAAGUGUAUUGGAACUCAUCACUAAGGCAGCCCAGGAUCCCGCAAUGGGCCUCACGUUUACCUUCUGCUUCCACUCUGGAAUGCUGAGGAUUGAACUCAGGACCUUGUCCCAAUUGGCUUAUUACCAGCUCCAAAGUGCUUUCUUCCAGAUCCUUAGCGUGUAAUUUGCCGCACUCUAUCAAAUGUUGAACCCACUGUUACACUGUGAGAUCCUUCAGGGUAUUUUCUUAUUCUUCCCACCACUUAAACUUGCUAGCUAUACGAACCACCCAUUGACACCCAUCAAGUCAUGUGAAAAGGAAAAAGGACCUCCACACCUUAUGGUUGCCCAGGGUUCUUUUUUUUUUGGUGGUAUUGUUUUUUGUUGUUGUUGUUGUUUUGUUUGUUUUUUCUUUCGAGACAGGGUUUCUCUGUAUAGCCCAGGCUGUCCUGGAACUCACUUUGUAGACCAGGCCAGCUAGGGCUACUGAGACCCUACCUUGGAGGGUAAGGAGGAAAGCUCGCCUACUAUGCACAUGCAAUGGAUAUAAUCCAAGCACCACAUAAAGCAGAUAUGGAGCUCGCCUGUAAUCCUAGUCUUCAGGGGCAGAGAGAAUAGAGUUCAAAGUCACCCUUAACGACAUACCUGGCUUUCAGAGCAUAAACCUAAAUAAACUCAAGUCAUUAAAAAAAAAAAUGCAGGGGACAUUAAAAAAAUAUAUAUAAAAGUGCAUAUUUUACUCAAAAUCAUGCUUACAGGUGAUUAUGUAACUAAAUAAUAGCAACAAUGGAUGUUUACUCAUUAAUAAUUUUAGAAAUGUUCCAGCCCAAAUGUUUAGUAAUUUCAGUAGACAAACAAUUAUUGAAAGUAAGGUUAAAAAAAAAAAGCUGGACUUACAAGUACAGUGAUGUGUUAAGUAGAGCCUACUAACAGUAAUUAGAAAACAAAAGUAGCUCAUCUUGGGAAUCUUAGUAAAUGCAAAAGGAAUUGAUAAGCAGCUAUUGGAAUGGAAAAAUAAAAUUCUAAAGGAACAGUAUGGGAAGAUUUUGAUAGUUGAAAUUUCAGUAAUUUCAACCCAUGCAAAUUUAAUAGAUGCCGAUUCACCAAUCAAAUGCAGUUUAGCCUAACCAUAGAAACAGCUCAACCAAUCACACACCAGAGUAGAAUCCACCUAUCAAAUCUUUCUCAAAUAUAAAAGCAAAAGCUAGGCACAGCAACAGUAAUCUUUGAAAUCCUCCAAUGAUGACGUGCAGUACUGCCCAGCAAGCUGCAUUCCUACUUACUCUGCUUCUGACCCGCUGUGUCUGCCUGCGUGUGUGUGUCUGUGUGACGGGAACAGAUCCUCAGAAUUGGAGCUGCAGGGAGCUGUCAUGUGCUUGCUGGGAAUUGAACCCUGCACCUCUUAUCCAGAGUGGUCACUGCAGCCCCACCUUUUCAUAGUUGAGAUACCAACACUCGUCAAGUCUUUUUGUGUUAAUCUCAACUUUAAUACUGUUGUAAGUUAUUAGUGCUUCCACAUACAAUCACUCCAGAUCACUGUUCCCAGCACCAGAACCGAGACUAAAUUCAGCCUGUGUAAUGUGAUCUCUAUGGUUGCCGCCAGCAAGCUCCAUGUGCUCAGCCCCCUUCUUCUUCCCAGCAGUCAGUCCCAGGACCACCACCACUUCUGCGCAUCCUUGAAC